GACGAACGCUGGCGGCGUGCUUAACACAUGCAAGUCGAACGAUGAACCCGGAGCUUGCUCUGGGGGAUUAGUGGCGAACGGGUGAGUAACACGUGAGUAACCUGCCCUGGACUCUGGGAUAAGCGUUGGAAACGACGUCUAAUACCGGAUAGGACCUUGGAUCGCAUGAUCUGGGGUGGAAAGUUUUUUCGGUCUGGGAUGGACUCGCGGCCUAUCAGCUUGUUGGUGAGGUAAUGGCUCACCAAGGCGUCGACGGGUAGCCGGCCUGAGAGGGUGACCGGCCACACUGGGACUGAGACACGGCACAGACUCCUACGGGAGGCAGCAGUAGGGAAUAUUGCACAAUGGGCGAAGGCCUGAUGCAGCAACGCCGCGUGCGGGAUGACGGCCUUCGGGUUGUAAACCGCUUUUAGUAGGGAAGAAGGGCUUCGGCUUGACGGUACCUGCAGAAAAAGGACCGGCUAACUACAUG
rnacentral:rRNA from 1 species